CCGCUAUUUCUUAGUGUUAAUAACUUCUAAUUUAUCGUCUAUGCACAAAACAAAUAAUUAUUAAAAAUAAGUAAGUGAUUGAUGGAGGAGGUUUAUCGCUUAACCUGUUAACACAGUAAUUUUAAUUGCUUACUCCUCCCAUUUUGGUCAAUUAAAAUUACUUGAAGAACGCCCACAUGUUCCGAGCGUUGAGCACGUGGCAAUAUUAUAGCACAUAACACUAUAUCGCACGUCAGUAAUCUUUAUUUUAUUUAUGACAAAACGGAUUGUUUUGCAUGAAUUAAUCACCAAAAAAUGGAUUCAUUUACUUAUCAGCUUCCCCUCUUCUCCCACCCUACCUCCUUUUUAUAUUUACGCCGACAUAACCACACGGUAGACGCUUUCCUGGUGGUAGAAUUUCUCCUCUUCAUUCCUUAAUAUCAUAAUUUCUAGAUCGAUUUGUGAAUUAUUGUUGGUUGGUUCAUUCUCUUUAUAAAAAAAAAUGGGAAAACAUAUUAAGCGCUAGUUGUUUUUGGCUUUUUAACCAUCUUUAACGCUUCCAAAGGAUACGUAAGACGCAGAAAUUAACAACUAUAGGACACCUUCAACAAUGAGUAAAACCCAUACUGCAUAGUCAGCUAUAUAAGGCCUCGAAAUGACAAACGUAAAACAAUUCAAACGAAAAAACUAACGACCUAAUUGAUGUACAAAUAAUAAACGAAAAACCAAAACUGUAACACAG
rnacentral:lncRNA from 1 species